rnacentral:rRNA from 1 species
UACAGAGGUCCCGAGCGUUGUUCGGAUUCAUUGGGCGUAAAGGGUGCGUAGGUGGCGCUGUAAGUCGGGUGUGAAAUUUCGGAGCUUAACUCCGAAACUGCAUUCGAUACUGCGGUGCUUGAGGACUGGAGAGGAGACUGGAAUUCAUGGUGUAGCAGUGAAAUGCGUAGAUAUCGUAAGGAAGACCAGUGGCGAAGGCGGGUCUCUGGACAGUUCCUGACGCUGAGGCACGAAGGUCAGGGGAGCAAACGGG